rnacentral:rRNA from 1 species
CAACCNGCCGCUUACUCGGGGAUAGCCUUUCGAAAGAAAGAUUAAUACCCGAUGGUAUAAAGAGUUCGCANNNUCUCUUUAUUAAAGAAUUUCGGUAAGCGAUGGGGAUGCGUUCCAUUAGAUUGUUGGCGGGGUAACGGCCCACCAAGUCUACGAUGGAUAGGGGUUCUGAGAGGAAGGUCCCCCACAUUGGAACUGAGACACGGUCCAAACUCCUACGGGAGGCAGCAGUGAGGAAUAUUGGUCAAUGGGCGAGAGCCUGAACCAGCCAAGUAGCGUGAAGGAUGACUGCCCUAUGGGUUGUAAACUUCUUUUAUAAGGGAAUAAAGUGAGGGACGUGUCCCUUUUUGUAUGUACCUUAUGAAUAAGGAUCGGCUAACUCCGUGCCAGCAGCCGCGGUAAUACGGAGGAUCCGAGCGUUAUCCGGAUUUAUUGGGUUUAAAGGGGGCGUAGGUUGACAUAUAAGUCAGCUGUGAAAGUUUACGGCUCAACCGUGAAAUUGCAGUUAAUACUGUAUGUCUUGAGUGUACAAGAGGUGGGCGGAAUUCGUGGUGUAGCGGUGAAAUGCUUAGAUAUCACGAAGAACUCCGAUUG